rnacentral:rRNA from 1 species
UACAGAGGAUGCAAGCGUUAUCCGGAAUGAUUGGGCGUAAAGCGUCUGUAGGUGGCUUUUUAAGUCCGCCGUCAAAUCCCAGGGCUCAACUCUGGACAGGCGGUGGAAACUACCAAGCUGGAGUACGGUAGGGGCAGAGGGAAUUUCCGGUGGAGCGGUGAAAUGCGUAGAGAUCGGAAAGAACACCAACGGCGAAAGCGGCCUUCUGGACCAAUACUGACGCUCAUGCACGAAAGCGUGGGGAGCAAACAGG